GAAAACAUACUAUUACUACUAUACCAGUUCUCGUCCGAUCACUGAAGUUGAGCACGGUUAGUACUUGGAUGGGUGAUCGCUUGGGAACACCGUGUGAUGUUGUCC
rnacentral:rRNA from 1 species